rnacentral:rRNA from 1 species
CCUACGGGGGGCAGCAGUGGGGAAUAUUGGACAAUGGGCGAAAGCCUGAUCCAGCCAUGCCGCGUGUGUGAAGAAGGCCUUCGGGUUGUAAAGCACUUUCAGUGGGGAAGAAAGCCUUGGGGCUAAUACCCUCGAGGAAGGACAUCACCCACAGAAGAAGCACCGGCUAACUCCGUGCCAGCAGCCGCGGUAAUACGGAGGGUGCGAGCGUUAAUCGGAAUUACUGGGCGUAAAGCGCGCGUAGGCGGUCUGAUAAGCCGGUUGUGAAAGCCCCGGGCUCAACCUGGGAACGGCAUCCGGAACUGUCAGGCUAGGGUGCAGGAGAGGAAGGUAGAAUUCCCGGUGUAGCGGUGAAAUGCGUAGAGAUCGGGAGGAAUACCAGUGGCGAAGGCGGCCUUCUGGACUGACACUGACGCUGAGGUGCGAAAGCGUGGGUAGCAAACAGGAUUAGAUACCCUUGUAGUC